rnacentral:rRNA from 2 species
GACGAACCGUGCGAACGUUGUUCGGAAUCACUGGGCUUAAAGGGCGCGUAGGCGGGCUCUCAAGUCAGGGGUGAAAGCCCGCGGCUCAACCGCGGAAGCGCCUUUGAUACUGGGGGCCUCGAGGGGGGUAGGGGCGUGCGGAACUUCCGGUGGAGCGGUGAAAUGCGUAGAUAUCGGAAGGAACACCGGUGGCGAAAGCGGCGCGCUGGACCCCUUCUGACGCUGAGGCGCGAAAGCCAGGGGAGCAAACGGG